rnacentral:rRNA from 1 species
UAAUACUUGCAGCCCGAGUGGUGGUCGAUAUUAUUGAGCCUAAAGCGUCCGUAGCCGAUCUAGUAAACCCUUGGGUAAAUCGGGCAGCUCAACCGUCCGAAUUCCGAGGGGACUGCUAGAUUUGGGACCGGGAGAGGUCAGAGGUACUCCGGGGGUAGGGGCUAAAUGCGCGAUGGGCCGUAUUUACGGUUACCCAUCAUGCUUAGCAUUCCUGUAAUCCUCGGGGGACCACCAGUGGCGAAGGCGUCUGACUAGAACGGAUCCGACGGUAAGGGACGUAACCCUGGGGCGCGAACCGGAUUAGAUACCCGGGUAGUCCAGGGCGUAAACGCUGCAGGCUUGGUGUUGGGGGUCCUACGGGGGCGCCCAGUGCCGGAGUGAAGAUGUUAAGCCUGCCGCUUGGGGAGUACGUCCGCAAGGAUGAAACUUAAAGGAAUUGGCGGGAGAGCACAGCAACGGGAGGAGCGUGCGG